GUUUAUAUAGAUGCAUUUAUUGUGAAAGAAAAAUAUCUAUUGCACCAAGAUGCACUAAUUCGUGGUUAAAAUAGACUAGUGUGUAUAAAACAUAAUAAUGUUCAUUUAUUUACGAGAUUUUGAAAUAAUGGUUACAAAUAAAUUUAUAAAUUUAAUACUGGAAUAUGAAUAUACAGUUGAAAUAGAAUGUAAAUAAUAAAAAUAAUAAAUUAGGAAAAAUGAUAACUAUGUAGAAAUAACUUGUAUAUUGUAGAGCAUAAAUUUAAAUAUACCUCGUAUUUUAUUCUUUUGGAUAUCUGAAAAGGAGAACUCAUGCAAACGUUAAAAUUAAAAUAUUAGAUUUAUUAACUUGUUAGAAAUAAAUUAACGAAUAAAGUCUAUCAAAAAUCGAGUUUAGCGAUUUGCUUUCCCAUUAAAUUAGUUUUGAAAUUUCAUUUGUUUGUUUUAAAGCUUACGUUGAGGUUGAGAUAUUAUUUUAGUUAGGAAGAAUAUUUUUGAGCUGAAGCAUUAGUUUUCAAAAAGGAAUAGCCAAAUUUUGAAAUGAUAAAGUCCUUUUAAAAGCGAAAUCUACAUCUUGACGAGUUAAGACAAAUAAUAAGGCAACAUAAAUCAAUAACCAAAUAAAGUAUCUCAGAGAAUUUAAUUACAAGAGUUAAUUAUUAUUCUAAAAAACAUCACAUGAUAAAUGUAAAUUAAACCAAAAGAAUAUAAGAAAUACUAGACUCCAUUUAGAGGCUUAAACUCUUGAUUCACGUGACUCCGAAGCUCUGCAAUCCUAGUAGCGGUUGAUCCGAUAUUUGGGUCAAAACAAGUUCCGUUGAGGAACCCCAACUCCCGAGUUCACAUGAAAAGACAAGGAGUUAGAAAUGAGUUUAUCUAUAUAAGAUCAACCAAAAUAGCUAAUAAGGAUAAUACAUAACUGAAACCAAGAACACAUUUAACUUAAAUUAUAGAAUUCAAAGAAACUACCAUGAUUCACUUACUACAUUUUGAACAAGUAGACAGAAACGAAGGAAUAAAGAAGAAUAUAACAUUAUUUCGUACCUAGGUGGAAAACAGCCCUCUGUUGAAACAAAUGAACUUUAAAAAGUUAAAAAAAGACGAAACCACAACUUUAAAAUUGUUUUCCAGAAAAACAAACAACAAUAUCACCAUAAAACUUGAGACUAAGAAAAAUCAUGUAUUCAUAUAGCCAAAUAAACAAGAGAAAGGGAAAGAAAAUGAAACAAAAAAGUACGAAGGCAGAGACAGAAUUUCCACAAAGAGGGUUCAAAAUUUCAAAAAAAAAAUAAUCGAAGGGGGUUCAACAUCUAUUAUAUAUACACUAAAAUGAUAAUUUUAGAGAUGUAUAAAUAGUAUAUUUUCCAAUGAAUGGGGUUCACAUUAUAAAGGCUGGCUCCAUCUCACUCCUUGUUUAAGACUGCAUCAGGGGGUUGAAGUUAAGAAACCUAAUGAUACACAAUCAUAUAUGUAUAUUCAUGCUUCGUACAAGAAAAAGGUUUCAAUACUCAAAACUGUGUAUUGUUCGAGGGCAGCGUCAUCUAACCAAUAACACUUACCAGACACGUAUUGUCAUAAAAAAAUAAAACAAGAACCAAGAUAAAAUUAAGAAAAUAAAUUUUAAUAACUGGCAGCCCAUUCAUAUUGUGAUUAAAUGGGAGCCUUUUUCUCACUGUAUUAUAUCAAUACCAAAUAGACAAGUAGUAGCCAAAAUGACUGAGAAUCAAAACAGUGAAGAAACAUGAAGUUAUAACUCCAUGUCAUCCACUUUUAAAUUUUUUUAUCUUAUUUACCUACUAGCAUAUUAUCAUUUAUCCUUCAACGUAAAUCAUCAAAUGGAUGGCUGCUAAUUCAAACUAUGCAGCACCAUUGUUACAUAUCAUGAUCCAAUAGGUACUAGCCUCUGUACGAUCAGAUCUUGAAUGAAAGAAUGGAAGGAAAUAAUUUAGUGGCUAACAUUCAUAUGACUAUUUUCCUUACUAUUGUGAAAGGUAUAAGUUGCUCAUGAUUCUAACCAUAUUCUUCACAUAUCAACAACCAUAUACUAUCCAAACCCAAAGCAAAAAUAGAGGAGAACAAUUUUAAAAAGAACAUUGCUGUAUCAAAACAGUUACCAAGACUAAAAAAUAACAAAAAUCGAAUUUAUUAAUCCUCAUGUGGCACAGAUAGUGAACAACCUAUGUUAAAGGUUGAGCAAGUAAUGUGUAAACACUUAUUCAAUCAAGCAAAACAAAAGCAAAGGGAAGAGAUUUGCUCAUAUUUGACCCCUAUCAAGACUUUUUCUAUUUACCAGAAGGCACAAAGACCAAAGGUAGAAAUCGAGUUGCCGAUUUGGACAAGUUAACAAGUCUCCUUUUUUUCGUCAAAACAAACAAGAGAAAAGUGUGCGAACAAAGCCGAAGCUACAACUCCCAAUGAUGGAACCAUUUUAACAUUUUUGCAAUAUCCCGUUAUUGAUUUUAAAUAUAAAACGAACAAAUUCGAACACAAAACCAAUGGUUCUUACGUGACCCACUAGAAAACUAGUUUGCAAGUCUAAGUCGAUGAGCAAAACCAAAACAUAUCCUUAUCCUAACAAGCAGUGAGUUAGAACCCCAAAAAUCAAGAUUUAGUCAUUUUUUAGAACUUAAAACGGUAAAAUCCUUCCAGUGCUAUAUAAGAAUCUAAAAUUUUCUAUUUAAACGCACAAUCCAUCCUAGAUAUGUCAUGUCACAAUUGAUGCCAUAUUCAAGUAUUCAAGCAUCAAGUUACAUGAUUCCGUGAUGGAUAGCCAAACAUUCUUAAAGCAUCAAGUUACAUGAUUCCGUGAUGGAUAGCCAAACAUUCUUAAAGCAUCAAGUUACAUGAUUCCGUGAUGGAUAGCCAAACAUUCUUAAAGCAUCAAGUUACAUGAUUCCGUGAUGGAUAGCCAAACAUUCUUAAAGUUUUAUGUCUUAUAGAACCCUUUUUCAAUAGAAGUAUAGCUAUCAAAUCCUUGCAACCAUAUCAACAAAACAAAGACAUACACAAGCCGCUAUUAUCAUGUUCAAAGCCUUAAAACUGACAUCAAACUGACCCUAAACAGUUCACCAAAUAUAUAUUGAAAAAAUUUGAAGUUUUAUGGAGUCCAUUCAAAACUAAUUCAAACUUGAGAAUAGUCUAUAAUCAUACUAACAAACAUAUAUAUGAAUCUAAACAAUGCAAGAACUACCGCUUUCGAGUUCACACUCAUAACUAGCAAACAUAACAACUCACUUUGUUAAAACUUCAAACUUUAUAUGCUUUAUUCUAGCCAAAUAAAAAUAAAUUCACAUACAUAUCAUCCAACGAGAAUAAAAUUAUAUGACCAGAAAACUACUUUGAUUUUACAUUUUAUGCCUCAAAAAUCAGUUGGCUAGUAUCCGGCUAACCACACCAUCGACGCCUAACAAAACUAAGUGCAAUGUAAUUAAGACGGGAUAGGAUUUACCUUGUCUGGCGCAAUAAACUGGGGUUUUGACGACAAGGAUUUGACGAUGAACUCGAGAAGCUCAGUUCUAGAACCUAAUCGACAAGACUUUUUUUCUUACUGUAUUUUGUUUCUUUUUCACUCUCUUUUCUUUCUUUUUCCACCUUGUACUCACUCCUAUUUCUUGUUUUUUCCUUUUGUAACGUCUUUUGAUCCCCUUUUUCCUCUGCCCCAAAGGAAUGGCUGAAGCCCCCCUUUAUAGGCACAUUUUGGAGUGUAUAAGUUUCUAAAAGAGGCUCUCUAUAGGAUUUAAAUUUGAAAUUCAAAAUUAUUAAUGGGACAAUCCACAGAGCUUGAACAGAUAUAGAGAGAGGGAAAAAGGGUUUACCUCUUUUAGAUUGAUUUAAAGGAGAACGAAAGUAGAAAAUUAGGUUGUACAAACCUUAUCCUUAUAAUGUGUAGAUUUUCUCCUCUCUUCCAAGCUAAGAAUGGAGAGGAUGAGACUUUUGCAACCUGAAGAGCCAAAGAAAAUAGGAAAAGGGGCAGGAUUUGUAUCAACCGAAUUUCCCGUUGAUCUCAACGAAAAUUCGAUGGAUUUGAGGUGAGGGAGAUGAGUUGCGCAGGGGAGUAGUUGAAGUUUUGUCUAGGUAGGGGUAUGCUAGGGUGUUAAGGCGAUGAAGAUGGUGAAGUGAAAGAGAAGAAAGACACGUGUUCUGAUGUUGGGGUGAGAAAAAGUUGUAUCUUCGGGCUUAUUUUGUUGACUGAAAUUUGUUAGUAUGAACAUUUGAUCGGAUGAUUCUGAUUUAAUAUAAGAAUAAAAGAAAAAAUAAUAAUAA
rnacentral:lncRNA from 1 species